GACAGAGGCCUCGAGCGUUAGGCGGAAUCACUGGGCUUAAAGCGCGUGUAGGCGGAUCGUUAAGUGCCUUGUGAAAUCCCGCGGCUCAACCGCGGAACCGCUGGGCAUACUGGCGGUCUUGGGCCACUCAGGGGUCACUGGAACAAGCGGUGGAGCGGUGAAAUGCGUAGAUAUCGCUUGGAACGCCAAAGGUGAAGACAGGUGACUGGGGGUGUGCCGACGCUGACGACGGCGAAAAGCCAGGGGAGAGCCAAAGCGGGACUUAAGAAACCC
rnacentral:rRNA from 1 species